rnacentral:tRNA from 2 species
GGGCCUCUAGCUCAAUCGGCAGAGCUGCGGACUUUUAAUCCGUUGGUUGUGGGUUCGAGUCCCACGGGGCCCA